GCCUUCGUGGUGUAAUGGUAAGCACGCUCGAUUCGUAACCGAGAGGUCCGUGGUUCAAUUCCCGGCAAGAGCA
rnacentral:tRNA from 1 species